rnacentral:rRNA from 1 species
GAUGAACGCUGGCGGCGUGCCUAAUACAUGCAAGUCGAGCGAACAGACGAGGAGCUUGCUCCUCUGACGUUAGCGGCGGACGGGUGAGUAACACGUGGAUAACCUACCUAUAAGACUGGGAUAACUUCGGGAAACCGGAGCUAAUACCGGAUAAUAUAUUGAACCGCAUGGUUCAAUAGUGAAAGACGGUUUUGCUGUCACUUAUAGAUGGAUCCGCGCCGCAUUAGCUAGUUGGUAAGGUAACGGCUUACCAAGGCAACGAUGCGUAGCCGACCUGAGAGGGUGAUCGGCCACACUGGAACUGAGACACGGUCCAGACUCCCACGGGAGGCAGCAGUAGGGAAUCUUCCGCAAUGGGCGAAAGCUUGACGGAGCAACGCCGCGUGAGUGAUGAAGGUCUUCGGAUCGUAAAACUCUGUUAUUAGGGAAGAACAAAUGUGUAAGUAACUAUGCACGUCUUGACGGUACCUAAGCAGAAAGCCACGGCUAACUACGU